CUCAGGAUGAACGCUGGCGGCGUGCCUAAUACAUGCAAGUCGAGCGAAUGGAUUAAGAGCUUGCUCUUAUGAAGUUAGCGGCGGACGGGUGAGUAACACGUGGGUAACCUGCCCAUAAGACUGGGAUAACUCCGGGAAACCGGGGCUAAUACCGGAUAACAUUUUGCACCGCAUGGUGCGAAAUUCAAAGGCGGCUUCGGCUGUCACUUAUGGAUGGACCCGCGUCGCAUUAGCUAGUUGGUGAGGUAACGGCUCACCAAGGCAACGAUGCGUAGCCGACCUGAGAGGGUGAUCGGCCACACUGGGACUGAGACACGGCCCAGACUCCUACGGGAGGCAGCAGUAGGGAAUCUUCCGCAAUGGACGAAAGUCUGACGGAGCAACGCCGCGUGAGUGAUGAAGGCUUUCGGGUCGUAAAACUCUGUUGUUAGGGAAGAACAAGUGCUAGUUGAAUAAGCUGGCACCUUGACGGUACCUAACCAGAAAGCCACGGCUAACUACGUGCCAGCA
rnacentral:rRNA from 1 species